CGCGCAGGCGGCUGGCCAAGUCCGAUGUGAAAGCUUCCGGCUUAACUGGAAAACGGCAUCGGAUACUGGUCGGCUGGAAGGUGGGAGAGGGUAGCGGAAUUCCCGGUGUAGUGGUGAAAUGCGUAGAUAUCGGGAAGAACACCAGUGGCGAAAGCGGCUACCUGGCCCACUCUUGACGCUGAGGCGCGAAAGCUAGGGGAGCAAACG
rnacentral:rRNA from 1 species